rnacentral:rRNA from 1 species
CAUAUGCUUGUCUCAAAGAUUAAGCCAUGCAUGUCUAAGUAUAAACAACUUUAUACUGUAAAACUGCGAACGGCUCAUUAUAUCAGCAAUAAUUUAUUUGAUGGUUUCUUACUACAUGGAUAACUGUAGUAAUUCUAGAGCUAAUACAUGCGCAAAGUCCCGACUCUCGCGGGGAGGGAUGUAUUUAUUAGAUAAAAAACCAAUGCGGGUUUUGCUCGCCUUUGUGUUGAAUCAUAGUAACUUCUCGGACGCCAUAGCCUUGUGCUGGGCGUAGAUCAUUCAAAUUUCUGCCCUAUCAGCUUUCGACGGUAGCGUAGUGGACUACCGUGGCAUUAACGGGUAACGGGGAAUUAGGGUUCGAUUCCGGAGAGGGAGCCUGAGAAACGGCUACCACAUCCAAGGAAGGCAGCAGGCGCGCAAAUUACCCAAUCCUGACACAGGGAGGUAGUGACAAAAAAUAACAAUACCUGGCCUUAUUAGGUCGGGUAAUUGGAAUGAGUACAAUUUAAAUCCCUUAACGAGGAUCAAUUGGAGGGCAAGUCUGGUGCCAGCAGCCGCGGUAAUUCCAGCUCCAAGAGCAUAUAUUAAAGUUGUUGCAGUUAAAAAGCUCGUAGUUGGAUUUCUGGUACAAUGCACCUGGCCCGCGGCCUAUUAGGCUUGUGAGUGCCGGCGCGCGUUUACCAUCCUUCUAGAAAACAGGCCUGCCCUUUACUGGGUUGGGUUUGCGAUCUAGAUCUUUUACUUUGAAAAAAUUAGAGUGUUUAAAGCAGGCUUUUGCUAUGAAUACAUUUAGCAUGGAAUAAUAAUCUAGGACUUCGGUUCUAUUUUGUUGGUUUCUAUAACUGAAGUAAUGAUUGAUAGGGAUAGUUGGGGGUGCUAGUAUUGGCCGGCCAGAGGUGAAAUUCUUGGAUUCGGUCAAGACUAACUUAUGCGAAAGCAUUCACCAAGGAUGUCUUCUUUAAUCAAGAACGAAAGUUGGGGGAUCGAAGACGAUCAGAUACCGUCGUAGUCUCAACCAUAAACUAUGCCAACUAGGGAUGGGUGAACGUUGCAUUUUCGACUUCAUCCGCACCUUAUGAGAAAUCAAAGUCUUUGGGUUCCGGGGGGAGUAUGGUCGCAAGGCUGAAACUUAAAGGAAUUGACGGAAGGGCACCACCAGGAGUGGAGCCUGCGGCUUAAUUUGACUCAACACGGGAAAACUUACCAGGUCCGGACAUAGUGAGGAUUGACAGAUUGAAGUUCUUUCUUGAUUCUAUGGGUGGUGGUGC